GUAGUUGACAGUUCUAAAUGUUUUUAUUUUUAAUUAAAAAUCAUCAAAAAAGGACGUUAAGGAAUGCAAAUUUGUACUAAAUCUCUUCCACGGGUGUUAAAUGAAGUAAAACGAAGCUUUUUGAUGUUUGGAGAAUUGAUGGGAACGAUCAAAAUGAAACUAUAAACAAUCCAAGAAACAAGAGCGAUGUCAUAUAUGGUUACGCCAUCUAGUAGUAAGAAACAGAAGAAUGAUGACAGCGUUGCACUUAAUCUACCGAUUUU